CUAACGGCCGUUUUAACGGCCACCAAUUUUUUCGAAAAGUUGCCUU
rfam:Crassostrea gigas strain 05x7-T-G4-1.051#20 contig5418, whole genome shotgun sequence.